rnacentral:rRNA from 1 species
CGGCGGACGGGUGAGUAACGCGUGGGUAACCUGCCCUGUACACACGGAUAACAUACCGAAAGGUAUGCUAAUACGGGAUAACAUAAGAAAUUCGCAUGUUUUUCUUAUCAAAGCUCCGGCGGUACAGGAUGGACCCGCGUCUGAUUAGCUAGUUGGUGAGGUAAUGGCUCACCAAGGCGACGAUCAGUAGCCGACCUGAGAGGGUGAACGGCCACAUUGGGACUGAGACACGGCCCAA